rnacentral:rRNA from 1 species
GACUAACAGGAUUCCCCUAGUAACUGCGAGUGAAGCGGGAAAAGCUCAAAUUUAAAAUCUGGUAGUCUUUGGCUGCCCGAGUUGUAAUCUAGAGAAGCGUUAUCCGCGCUGGACCGUGUAUAAGUCUCCUGGAAUGGAGCGUCGUAGAGGGUGAGAAUCCCGUCUUUGACACGGACUACCAGGGCUUUGUGAUGCGCUCUCGAAGAGUCGAGUUGUUUGGGAAUGCAGCUCUAAAUGGGUGGUAAAUUCCAUCUAAAGCUAAAUAUUGGCGAGAGACCGAUAGCGAACAAGUACCGUGAGGGAAAGAUGAAAAGAACUUUGGAAAGAGAGUUAAACAGUACGUGAAAUUGUUGAAAGGGAAACGCUUGAAGUCAGUCGCGUUUGCCAGGAAUCAGCCUCGCUUUUGCUUGGUGUAUUUCCUGGUUUAACGGGUCAGCAUCAAUUUUGACCGGUGGAAAAAGGUCAGGGGAAUGUGGCAUCUUCGGAUGUGUUAUAGCCCCUGGUUGUAUACAUCGGUUGGGAUUGAGGAACUCAGCACGCCGCAAGGUCGGGUUUUUAACCACGUUCGUGCUUAGGAUGCUGGCAUAAUGGCUUUAAUCGACCCGUCUUGAAACACGGACCAAGGAGUCUAACAUGCCUGCGAGUGUUUGGGUGGAAAACCCGAGCGCGUAAUGAAAGUGAAAGUUGAGAUCCCUGUCGUGGGGAGCAUCGACGCCCGGACCAGACCUUUUGUGACGGAUCCGCGGUAGAGCAUGUAUGUUGGGACCCGAAAGAUGGUGAACUAUGCCUGAAUAGGGUGAAGCCAGAGGAAACUCUGGUGGAGGCUCGUAGCGAUUCUGACGUGCAAAUCGAUCGUCAAAUUUGGGUAUAGGGGCGAAAGACUAAUCGAACCAUCUAGUAGCUGGUUCCUGCGAGUUUUC